GAAUCCCGUCUUUGACACGGACUGCCUGUACAUUAUGGUGUGCUCUCGAAGAGUCGAGUUGUUUGGGAAUGCAGCUCAAAAUGGGUGGUAAAUGCCAUCUAAAGCUAAAUAUUGGCGAGAGACCGAUAGCGAACAAGUACCGUGAGGGAAAGAUGAAAAGAACUUUGGAAAGAGAGUUAAACAGUACGUGAAAUUGCUGAAAGGGAAACGCUUGAAGUCAGUCGCGUUGGCUAGAAAUCAACCUUGCUUUUGCUUUGUGUACUUUCUGGUUGACGGGUCAGCAUCAAUUUUGACCACUGGAUAAAGUUUUUGGGAAUGUGGCAUCUUCGGAUGUGUUAUAGCCCAUUGUCGCAUACGGUGGUUGGGAUUGAGGAACUCAGCACGCCGCAAGGCCGGGUUUCGACCACGUUCGUGCUUAGGAUGCUGGCAUAAUGGCUUUAAUCGACCCGUCUUGAAACACGGACCAAGGAGUCUAACAUGCCUGCGAGUGUUUGGGUGGAAAAACCCAUGCGCGCAAUGAAAGUGAAAGUUGAGAUCCUCUUCAAAGGGGGAGCAUUGACGCCCGGACCAGACCUUUUGUGACGGAUCCGCGGUAGAGCAUGCAUGUUGGGACCCGAAAGAUGGUGAACUAUGCCUGAAUAGGGUGAAGCCAGAGGAAACUCUGGUGGAGGCUCGUAGCGAUUCUGACGUGCAAAUCGAUCGUCAAAUUUGGGUAUAGGGGCGAAAGACUAAUCGAACCAUCUAGUAGCUGGUUCCUGCC
rnacentral:rRNA from 1 species